rnacentral:rRNA from 1 species
UACAGAGGUCUCAAGCGUUGUUCGGAUUCAUUGGGCGUAAAGGGUGCGUAGGCGGCGCGGUAAGUCGGGUGUGAAAUCUCGGGGCUUAACUCCGAAACUGCAUUCGAUACUGCCGUGCUUGAGGACUGGAGAGGAGACUGGAAUUCCAGGUGUAGCGGUGAAAUGCGUAGAUAUCUGGAGGAACACCGGUGGCGAAGGCGACAUCCUGGACCGGUAUUGACGCUGAGGCGCGAAAGCCAGGGGAGCAAAGCGGG